rnacentral:rRNA from 1 species
GACGAACGCUGGCGGCGUGCUUAACACAUGCAAGUCGAACGAUGAUGCCCAGCUUGCUGGGUGGAUUAGUGGCGAACGGGUGAGUAACACGUGAGUAACCUGCCCCUGACUCUGGGAUAAGCGUUGGAAACGACGUCUAAUACUGGAUAUGAUCACUGGCCGCAUGGUCUGGUGGUGGAAAGAUUUUUUGGUUGGGGAUGGACUCGCGGCCUAUCAGCUUGUUGGUGAGGUAAUGGCUCACCAAGGCGACGACGGGUAGCCGGCCUGAGAGGGUGACCGGCCACACUGGGACUGAGACACGGCCCAGACUCCUACGGGAGGCAGCAGUGGGGAAUAUUGCACAAUGGGCGAAAGCCUGAUGCAGCAACGCCGCGUGAGGGAUGACGGCCUUCGGGUUGUAAACCUCUUUUAGUAGGGAAGAAGCGAAAGUGACGGUACCUGCAGAAGAAGCACCGGCUAACUACGUGCCAGCAGCCGCGGUAAUACGUAGGGUGCAAGCGUUGUCCGGAAUUAUUGGGCGUAAAGAGCUCGUAGGCGGUUUGUCGCGUCUGCUGUGAAAUCCCGAGGCUCAACCUCGGGCUUGCAGUGGGUACGGGCAGACUAGAGUGCGGUAGGGGAGAUUGGAAUUCCUGGUGUAGCGGUGGAAUGCGCAGAUAUCAGGAGGAACACCGAUGGCGAAGGCAGAUCUCUGGGCCGUAACUGACGCUGAGGAGCGAAAGCAUGGGGAGCGAACAGGAUUAGAUACCCUGGUAGUCCAUGCCGUAAACGUUGGGCGCUAGAUGUAGGGACCUUUCCACGGUUUCUGUGUCGUAGCUAACGCAUUAAGCGCCCCGCCUGGGGAGUACGGCCGCAAGGCUAAAACUCAAAGGAAUUGACGGGGGGCCGCACAAGCGGCGGAGCAUGCGGAUUAAUUCGAUGCAACGCGAAGAACCUUACCAAGGCUUGACAUACACCGGAAACGGCCAGAGAUGGUCGCCCCCUUGUGGUCCGGUGUACAGGUGGUGCAUGGUUGUCGUCAGCUCGUGUCGUGAGAUGUUGGGUUAAGUCCCGCAACGAGCGCAACCCUCGUUCUAUGUUGCCAGCGGGUUAUGCCGGGGACUCAUAGGAGACUGCCGGGGUCAACUCGGAGGAAGGUGGGGAUGACGUCAAAUCAUCAUGCCCCUUAUGUCUUGGGCUUCACGCAUGCUACAAUGGCCGGUACAAAGGGCUGCGAUACCGUAAGGUGGAGCGAAUCCCAAAAAGCCGGUCUCAGUUCGGAUUGAGGUCUGCAACUCGACCUCAUGAAGUCGGAGUCGCUAGUAAUCGCAGAUCAGCAACGCUGCGGUGAAUACGUUCCCGGGCCUUGUACACACCGCCCGUCAAGUCAUGAAAGUCGGUAACACCCGAAGCCGGUGGCCUAACCC